rnacentral:rRNA from 1 species
GACGAACGCUGGCGGCGUGCCUAAUACAUGCCAGUCGAACGCUUCUUUCCUGCCGAGUGUCUGCCCACAAUUGGGACGGGGGGUGGCGGAAGGGUGAGAAACCCUUACGUAAACUAUCGGUCAGAGGGGGAUAACACGUGGAAACACGUGAUAAUACCGCCUACCACAUUAUGCAGUAUUGAAACAGAGUGAAAGGCGCAUUAAGGUGUGGCUGCUGGAUGGAUCCGCGUUGCAUUAGCUAGUUGGUUAGGUAACGGCUCACCAAGGCCACGACGCAUAGGCGACCUGAGAUGGUGAUCGGCCACACGGGGACUGAGCCACGGACCAGACUCCUAGGGGAGGCAGCAGUAGGGAAUCUUCGGCAAUGGACGAAAGUCUGACCGAGCAACGCCGCGUGAGUGAAGAAGGUUUUCGGAUCGUAAAACUCUGUUAUUAGAGAAGAACAACUACGUUAGUAACUGAACGCCACCUGACGGUAGCUAACCAGAAAGCCACGGCUAACUACGUG